rnacentral:rRNA from 1 species
UACGGAGGGGGCUAGCGUUGUUCGGAAUUACUGGGCGUAAAGCGCACGUAGGCGGCUUCGCAAGUCAGAGGUGAAAGCCCUGGGCUCAACCCCGGAACUGCCUUUGAGACUGCGUCGCUCGAAUCCGGAAGAGGCGGGUGGAAUUCCCAGUGUAGAGGUGAAAUUCGUAGAUAUUGGGAAGAACACCAGUGGCGAAGGCGGCGCGCUGGACCUGGACUGACGCUGAGGUGCGAAAGCGUGGGGAGCAAACAGG